CCUACGGGAGGCAGCAGUGGGGAAUAUUGGGCAAUGGGCGCAAGCCUGACCCAGCAACGCCGCGUGAAGGAAGAAGGCUUUCGGGUUGUAAACUUCUUUUCUCAGGGACGAAGCAAGUGACGGUACCUGAGGAAUAAGCCACGGCUAACUACGUGCCAGCGGCCGCUGUAAUACGUAGGUGGCAAGCGUUAUCCGGAUUUACUGGGUGUAAAGGGCGUGUAGGCGGGGACGGAAGUCAGAUGUGAAAACCACGGGCUCAACCUGUGGCCUGCAUUUGAAACUGUGUUUCUUGAGUACUGGAGAGGCAGACGGAAGUGCUAGUGUAGGGGUGAAAUGCGUAGAUAUUAGGAGGAACACCAGUGGCGAAGGCGGUCUGCUGGACAGGAACUGCCACUGACAUUGAUGCUCGAAAGUGUGGGUAUCAAACAGGAUUAGAUACCCGAGUAGUC
rnacentral:rRNA from 1 species